rnacentral:rRNA from 1 species
UACAGAGGUCCCGAGCGUUGUUCGGAUUCACUGGGCGUAAAGGGUGCGUAGGUGGCAUAGAAAGUUUGAUGUGAAAGCUCAGGGCUUAACCCUGAAAUGGCAUUGAAUACUGCUGUGCUGGAGGUUUGGAGGGGGGACUGGAAUUCUUGGUGUAGCAGUGAAAUGCGUAGAUAUCAAGAGGAACACCAGUGGCGAAGGCGAGUCCCUGGACAACACCUGACACUGAGGCACGGAAGCUAGGGGAGCAAACAGG